UACGGGGGGGGCAAGCGUUGUUCGGAAUUACUGGGCGUAAAGGGCUCGUAGGCGGCCAACUAAGUCAUACGUGAAAUCCCUCGGCUUAACCGGGAACUGCGUCUGAUACUGGAUGGCUUGAGUUCGGGAGAGGGAUGCGGAAUUCCAGGUGUAGCGGUGAAAUGCGUAGAUAUCUGGAGGAACACCGGUGGCGAAGGCGGCAAUCCUGGGCCGGUACUGACGCUGAGGAGCGAAAGCGUGGGGAGCAAGCAGG
rnacentral:rRNA from 1 species